AUUGAACGCUGGCGGAAUGCUUUACACAUGCAAGUCGAACGGUAGAGGGGGCAACCCCUCGAGAGUGGCGAACGGGUGAGUAAUAUAUCGGAACGUGCCCAGUCGUGGGGGAUAACGUAGCGAAAGUUACGCUAAUACCGCAUACGAUCUAAGGAUGAAAGCGGGGGAUCGCAAGACCUCGCGCGAUUGGAGCAGCCGAUAUCAGAUUAGGUAGUUGGUGGGGUAAAGGCUCACCAAGCCAACGAUCUGUAGCUGGUCUGAGAGGACGACCCGCCACACUGGAACUGAGACACGGUCCAGACUCCUACGGGAGGCAGCAGUGGGGAAUUUUGGACAAUGGACGCAAGUCUGAUCCAGCCAUUCCGCGUGCAGGGUGAAGGCCCUCGGGUUGUAAACUGCUUUUGUACGGAACGAAAAGGUCUCUCUUAAUACGGGGGACUCAUGACGGUACCGUAAGAAUAAGCACCGGCUAACUACGUGCCAGCAGCCGCCGCGG
rnacentral:rRNA from 1 species